AAAACCAUCAACUUUUGCGACUUUGAAACCAACUUCCACUCAACCACUGUUUUCAGUUUUUUACUAAUUUCUGUUGGAUAUGCACAAGGAAUUAUUAGGGCUUUACAAACAUAUGUAAAGACGGAACCUCAACAGAAACCAAACACCGGUUCGGCAGAGCGCCUGCAGCCCAGGUCUGAGUCCCGGCUACCGGAUACUUCACCCGCCGCGUGUGCUAAAGCAGCUCCGAACCCCAGACGCGUGCAGCCUCCACUCGAGAAACCGACCACGAUUCAGCGAGCAAAAGGCCAAUCAGAUCUAUGGCACUCUGACAAUGAACAAGCGAUCACAGUUAUUGGAACAGCUGCAUUUUGUCCAUCUAAAAUGCACACCUCGAGGUUAGCAACUGUUUCAUCCCUCUAAAGCGCUUUCUAUAAGCCUGCGUGUGUAUUUGUGUGGGGCUCUCUGUCUGAUGCACGCACGCACGCGCACACACACAUACACAGCUGUAAAGCAUCGUUUCAGUAUGACUUUAUGUGGUCUAGACCUUUUUAAUAAUUCGACUUUUUACGUUAGGUUGGCUGCGUUUUCAUUUUUAUUAUCCGUGUCAUGAUGAAAUGUGGAGCUGAGGUAGAAAAUCGACGUGCUCUGGGGUUUGCACGUGCACAAACAAACCAUAAACCGAUACACACGAGAGAUACAGAGUCAGACAGAAAGUCAAGUCCUGUCUUUUUUUUUUUUUUUUUUGAUAAGGGUUUGUCUAGUCUUACAUAAGUUGAGCUGGCCCAAAGUGUAGUCAAAAUAACUAACGUCUGUCUCUUUUUUUUUUUUUUUUGUAUAAGGAUUUGUCUAGUCUUACAUAAGUUGAGCUGGCCCAAAGUGUGUCAAAAUACACCCAAACCUUGAUUGGAUAAAUGCUGUAGCUAUUUGCAGUCUUCAAAUUCCCAAACUAUUAAAAAGCACGUUUAUCAGCAUAUCUGGGCCUAUAUCACUGGCUGACAGAUUUUUACUAAGUGUUUUUAGUACACACGAGAGAUACAGAGUCAGACAGAAAGUACAAGUACCUGCUUGUCUUUUUUUUUUUUUUUGUUAUAAGGAUUUGUCUAGUCUUACAUAAGUUGAGCUGGCCCAAAGUGUGUCAAAAUACACCCAAACCUUGAUUGGAUAAAUGCUGUAGCUAUUUGCAGUCUUCAAAUUCCCAAACUAUUAAAAAGCACGUUUAUCAGCAUAUCUGGGCCUAUAUCACUGGCUGACAGAUUUUUACUAAGUGUUUUUAGUUUAAAAUGGAUUGGUAUCGUUUAAAAAUAUUGUAGAUUUAAAAUGAGAAUAAAACAGGUUAUAGUGUAAAGAAAGAAAGAAGAAGAAAGUGUAAUAUCUCAAGUGUGGUGACAUAUCAAUGUUAGGCUAUAAGAAAGUUUGACUCACUUGCUCCAUCCAGCACGGGACAGAUUGACCUCAAACCAUUCAUUCCUCUGGUAGCCUAUCCAUGACGAUGAAGGGGUCGCACCUUAUCCCACCCACCCACCCACUCACUCACUUUGACGUAAAACUCUCCUCCUAUGUAUAGGCCUAUGUCAAGUUGCGAAUUUGGAAUAUUAUAAAUUAUCCAAGUAAAUUUACCUCCCUAAUAAAGUUAAAACUAGCCUAAAGUUUUUUUUUCUUUUUAUAGAAUGUUGUUACUUUUAAUAUAAGUGUCACCAAAUAGGCUUUCCUAUGUACAAGUUAGAUUAUUAGAUAACAAGUUAAUCAGAGUGCACCAAAUGUAUACGCUCGCAAACAGAUACGAGUGUGCGUGAGGAUGUAACCAUAGCAACAGCUGCUCGAUAACUGUAGCGAACGUUACAUGGACAACACAUAAUGUAACUACUGACAGUAUUUAUCUGGCUUAUUUUAGAUUCCUAGAUUUCUCAAAUAUACCACAAAAAUCGUUUUUGUUUAAAACAUCUAUAAUAUAUUUGAAGGCUAGCUAUGGGAGCAAAACACUAUUUGGUUCGCGCGAGAACAGGCCAAAUGUGACAGAAAUUCUUUUUACUUUACACCCCUAAAAUUCUAAAAUAUGCGCAAUGAAAUAUGUACUAUAUAUAGAUUUGCCUACUUUCUCUUGACAUCCAAUUUGGAUUACAAUGAGCAAGUUUAUUAUAAUUCAAAAUUCAGUAAUCUAAUACAUGGAGAAAAAUAAUAUAGCAACAUAAACUUUUAUUAUUAGAAUUAAUAAAGUAAGCUGGACAACAAGGAGUUUUACAGUUGUUUUAAUUAAAAAAUAAACAAAACAAAACAAGUUGAAUUGAGGAAAAAGUUUAUUUAAGGUAAGCCCUCUCUGCUCAUGUGCAUAUGAGUCCACUGGUGUGACAGAAUAUCUGCUGACAUUAAACUCACUAUUAUCCGUGAUGCUGUAUGCCACAAUAUGCGUUUGUAUGCAUAGCCAGCGACGUGCGUAGGAAACGGAACGCGCGCGCACCGGUCCGAGUCAUCACGGGUAAAGAGGCGUUCAUAAUUGAUAAGCCUCUUGAUUUUACUAAACACACAUGACGUGUUGGAGGCACAAAGAUUACGAAGUCACUACACGACAGCGUCAAUCCGACGUCGGGUCUGUGUACACUUCCCCACCUAGGGAAAAUAAGCAAACAAAGGACACGCACACACAUCUCCGCGCGGACUCGGGUAGCUCUGCACAGAUGCGCUUAUAAACAGCUGUGUCAAGACGCACAGUUGUAGGUUAUAUAACUCUGAGAGCCCGCGCUGGCAAUAUGGUUUUCCUGGAGCGCAGAGCUGGCUCAAGAUACAGACUACUACUAUUAACAGGAGUUUCUCGUGGCUUUUAAUAAGAUCAUUUCAACAGGUGCUUGGUGCACAUUUAAUUAAUAGAGUUAAACCAUCAUGAAUAUUUAUCUAAAAGCGUUUUGGUUACAACUUUUAGGCGUCAUGUUUUGAAGUGACUAAACACAUCUUUUUCUGUCUUAACAAGUUGUGCACAUUUAUUUUGUGCAUGUUUACAUCUAUGAAUAUUUAUAAUUAUGAAAUAUAAGGACUGAUGAUGUAUGAUGGAUAAACUCACUGAAUGAUUUGUUAGUCAAGUGUAGGUAGCUAUAUGUGCUAGAUGGGUUGGACGGUGUUUGCUCACAAGAGUUGCAUGGAAUUCAAAUCCUGAAAGAAAACUAACUGCUGACAUUAAGGAAACAUUUUUAAUAAUUUAUAUCAUUAUUAAUGCGAUAGCUCACCCAGAAAUGAUCAUUCUGUCAUUAUUUACUCACUCUUGUGUUGUAAUAAACUGGUAGGAAUUUCUUUCUUCAGUGGAGAUGUCACUUUCAUGACUUAGCAAAAAUAACUUUGAGUAAAUGAUGACAGAAUUUCCUUUAAUUCAGAUGUUUUAUUAUUGGAGAAUCCAAGCCAGGAGUGAGACGUGUGUUUUUUAUAUUUAUUUUUUGCACAUGUGCCCACCAGCUCACAACCUAACCCAUGUUUCCAGGUGAAUGGUUUUUCUACUAACUUGGCAC
rnacentral:lncRNA from 1 species